GAGGCGCGGCCGUCUGCGUGCCCCUCAUCUCGUAGUCGAGAGGAGCGCGCUGCGGGGCAGGCCUCCGAGUACUUCCCACAGAGGACCGGGCUUUAUACUGCUCCUUUUCCUCCCCUAGAUCCUGAGCAGCCAUAUAAGACAUUCAACCAGCCUGAGACCACCAUACAUUGAUCACAGUCUCAAAUGAACCCAACAUUUCACCUGUGCCUGCCAGGCAGCAGACAUGCAGCUGAAGCUGUCUUGGAGCCUCUAGACCAGCCCAUCCACCUGCUGAAUACCAGUGAGUGACCUAUGUCAAAGCUACCAGAAGUGGAAUUGCCAGCUGAGUCUUGCCUAAAUUUCUGAGCCACACAAUCGUGAGAUACUAUAAAGUGAAUGAUAGAAAUGCUGCGCAAAACCAACUCAACUGUUUUCAUCUCACUUGAUAUGUGCACAAUCUACCAACACUGCUCACCUUGGGCUUCUUGGUGAGUGAGGAAUUACAAUUUUCUUUCCUUCUAUGUCAUCAUUUUCAGUACGAGUAGUUGGCCAACACAGAGAAGUAACAUGAGAGAGUGUAUGGUAGGCUUUCCUGUCAUUCACGUUUCUUGGAAUGCCUUGGCCUUCUUUCUGCAUUCAAAGCAAGUUCUGGCCCAAGCAAAAAGUCAGUGGUAGAUAUGCAGAUAUGCCAAUAUGCCACGCUCACCUUUUACUCUUUAAGUCUCACUGAACUCCCACGUAUUGUGGGUCCGCCAGAAUUCUGUGUUCACAAGGUGUUGUGAACUCUGUAAGGAAAUAAGGUAGCAAGGAACAGCAGAUACCCCAUUAUUCUUAUUGAGCUUAACAUAUUGUGCUUAUCUUCCCUACUCACGUUCAUGCUCCAAUGUCUGUCAGAAUUCACUUGCAAAACAUAAGUUCAAACAUAAAAUUGUCGAGAAUUUCAAGACAGUGACAGCAGAGCAUUAAAAUAAGUGUGAGGCUCUCUGAGCCUGGGGCUCUGUGAGACUACACCCACUGAGCAGACUCCGAGAUGAUGGACACACACAGAAUGACACAUCUGUUUCCAGAGUUCACGCUCCUAACCACUGUGCUCUGCUGCCCCUCAGACUAUGCCCAGAGGCACCUUCAAAAGCUUCUGCUUUAUGUGUCCAUUAUUCAUAGAAUUAAAGAAAGAUGAUGGUGGACAGAGGGCCUUAGAAUUCCAACCUUCCUAUUAUACAGACAAAAGACAAGAAACCCAAAGAACCAGGAUGACAGCCCUGA